rnacentral:sRNA from 12 species
UUGCGUUAAGGAUAGCAAUGGAAAUCCUUUUUUUGCUGCCAUAAACGGCAAAAAAAGAGUGUAAUGUAUAGCCUGUUAAAAC